UACGAAGGGGGCUAGCGUUGUUCGGAAUUACUGGGCGUAAAGCGCACGUAGGCGGAUAUUUAAGUCAGGGGUGAAAUCCCGGGGCUCAACCCCGGAACUGCCUUUGAUACUGGGUAUCUAGAGUAUGGUAGAGGUGAGUGGAAUUCCGAGUGUAGAGGUGAAAUUCGUAGAUAUUCGGAGGAACACCAGUGGCGAAGGCGGCUCACUGGCUCAUACUGGACGCUGAGGUGCGAAAGCGUGGGGAGCAAACAGG
rnacentral:rRNA from 1 species